UACGGAAGGCAGCAGUGGGGAAUAUUGCACAAUGGGCGCAAGCCUGAUGCAGCCAUGCCGCGUGUAUGAAGAAGGCCUUCGGGUUGUAAAGUACUUUCAGUCGUGAGGAAGGUGUUAAGGUUAAUAACCUUAGCAAUUGACGUUAGCGACAGAAGAAGCACCGGCUAACUCCGUGCCAGCAGCCGCGGUAAUACGGAGGGUGCGAGCGUUAAUCGGAAUUACUGGGCGUAAAGGGCACGCAGGCGGUUAAUUAAGUUGGAUGUGAAAUCCCCGGGCUUAAACCUGGGAAUGGCAUUCAAGACUGGUUAGCUAGAGUCUUGUAGAGGGGGUAGAAUUCCAUGUGUAGCGGUGAAAUGCGUAGAGAUGUGGAGGAAUACCGGUGGCGAAGGCGGCCCCUGGACAAAGGACUGACGCUCAUGUGCGAAAGCGUGGGGAGCAAAACAGGGAUUAGAUACC
rnacentral:rRNA from 1 species